UAAUACGUAGGUGGCAAGCGUUGUCCGGAAUUAUUGGGCGUAAAGCGCGCGCAGGCGGUCCUUUAAGUCUGAUGUGAAAUCUUGCGGCUCAACCGCAAGCGGUCAUUGGAAACUGGGGGACUUGAGUGCAGAAGAGGAAAGCGGAAUUCCACGUGUAGCGGUGAAAUGCGUAGAGAUGUGGAGGAACACCAGUGGCGAAGGCGGCUUUCUGGUCUGUAACUGACGCUGAGGCGCGAAAGCGUGGGGAGCAAACAGGAUUAGAUACCCUGGUAGUCCACGCCGUAAACGAUGAGUGCUAAGUGUUGGAGGGUUUCCGCCCUUCAGUGCUGCAGCUAACGCAUUAAGCACUCCGCCUGGGGAGUACGGUCGCAAGACUGAA
rnacentral:rRNA from 1 species